UCGAGCGAACGGACGAGAAGCUUGCUUCUCUGAUGUUAGCGGCGGACGGGUGAGUAACACGUGGAUAACCUACCUAUAAGACUGGGAUAACUUCGGGAAACCGGAGCUAAUACCGGAUAAUAUUUUGAACCGCAUGGUUCAAAAGUGAAAGACGGUCUUGCUGUCACUUAUAGAUGGAUCCGCGCUGCAUUAGCUAGUUGGUAAGGUAACGGCUUACCAAGGCAACGAUGCAUAGCCGACCUGAGAGGGUGAUCGGCCACACUGGAACUGAGACACGGUCCAGACUCCUACGGGAGGCAGCAGUAGGGAAUCUUCCGCAAUGGGCGAAAGCCUGACGGAGCAACGCCGCGUGAGUGAUGAAGGUCUUCGGAUCGUAAAACUCUGUUAUUAGGGAAGAACAUAUGUGUAAGUAACUGUGCACAUCUUGACGGUACCUAAUCAGAAAGCCACGGCUAACUACGUGCCAGCAGCCGCGGUAAUACGUAGGUGGCAAGCGUUAUCCGGAAUUAUUGGGCGUAAAGCGCGCGUAGGCGGUUUUUUAAGUCUGAUGUGAAAGCCCACGGCUCAACCGUGGAGGGUCAUUGGAAACUGGAAUACUUGAGUGCAGAAGAGGAAAGUGGAAUUCCAUGUGUAGCGGUGAAAUGCGCAGAGAUAUGGAGGAACACCAGUGGCGAAGGCGACUU
rnacentral:rRNA from 1 species